rnacentral:rRNA from 1 species
AGAGUUUAAUAAAACUCCUAAACCCCUGUGAACUUACUGGUGUUUGGCUCGCCAGAUAUAGUCUGGUCCGUAAGCAAAUCGACUGCCUGCCUGUGUAACAGGCAGGUAAGCUUUUGUCGCGGGGUCCCGGAUCAACCCGGGCUAGAUAGCCACUUAACUAUAUACUUUUUAUAAAAUCUGUGAACUUACUAGGUUGGAUUCUCGCCAGAGAUAGUCUGGUUUCUGCUUCGCGGAUCGCCUACCCGUGACACCUGUCACAGGCAGGUAUGCUUCUGCCGCGGGUCCGUAAGUAAAUCAUCUGUUUCGCAAGGGACGGCGAUUUACCUGUGGAAGAGGUCCGCUAACUAUAUUCUUAGUAUAGUUUGUUCACUAGAUCAAACAUUCUGAAUAAAAACUUAAACUAGUUAAAACUUUCAACAACGGAUCUCUUGGUUCUGGCAUCGAUGAAGAACGCAGCGAAAUGCGAUAAGUAAUGUGAAUUGCAGAAUUCAGUGAAUCAUCGAAUCUUUGAACGCACAUUGCGCCCAUUAGUAUUCUAGUGGGCAUGCCUGUUCGAGCGUCAUUUCAACCCUUAAGCCCCUGUUGCUUAGCGUUGGGAGCCUACAGCCUGCUGUAGCUCCUUAAAGGUAGUGGCGGAGUCGGUUCACACUCUAGACGUAGUAAAAUCUUUAUCUCGCCUAUGGAUGAGCCGGCGCCUUGCCGUAAAACCCCUAAUCUUUCACAAGGUUGACCUCGGAUCAGGUAGGAAUACCCGCUGAACUUAAGCAUAUCAAUAAGCGGAGGAAAAGAAACCAACAGGGAUUGCCCUAGUAACGGCGAGUGAAGCGGCAACAGCUCAAAUUUGAAAUCUGGCCUUCGGGUCCGAGUUGUAAUUUGCAGAGGAUGCUUUGGGCGCGGUGCCUUCCGAGUUCCCUGGAACGGGACGCCUUAGAGGGUGAGAGCCCCGUACGGUUGGACACCAAGCCUCUGUAAAGCUCCUUCGACGAGUCGAGUAGUUUGGGAAUGCUGCUCUAAAUGGGAGGUAAAUUUCUUCUAAAGCUAAAUAUUGGCCAGAGACCGAUAGCGCACAAGUAGAGUGAUCGAAAGAUGAAAAGCACUUUGAAAAGAGGGUUAAAUAGCACGUGAAAUUGUUGAAAGGGAAGCGUUUGCGACCAGACCUUUUCCCAGCGGAUCAUCCGGUGUUCUCACCGGUGCACUUCGCUGGGUUGAGGCCAGCAUCGGUUUCCGCAGGGGGAUAAAAGCCUGGGGAACGUAGCUCCCUCGGGAGUGUUAUAGCCCCUCGCAUAAUACC